UUACGAGUUUUUUAAUUUUAUAAAUUUGCGUAGCAGUAGAAUUUAAUCCUAUAUAUGUGUGGUGAUAGUAUAUAAGUUGUUUUUUUCUUGGUGUGGUUGGUUUGUAUCAUGAUAUGAGGCUAUGCAGCUUAUGUGAAGUGUGAUCAAUAUGGCUAACAUUUUCUUUAUUUGUUAGAAAUUUUGUAUUUUUUAAUCGGGACUUUUAUUUUUUUUUUUGUGAUAUCAUAGGUAUAACCUGC
rnacentral:lncRNA from 1 species